GAUGAACGCUGGCGGCGUGCCUAAUACAUGCAAGUCGAGCGAACAGACGAGGAGCUUGCUCCUCUGACGUUAGCGGCGGACGGGUGAGUAACACGUGGAUAACCUACCUAUAAGACUUGGAUAACUUCGGGAAACCGGAGCUAAUACCGGAUAACAUGUUUAACCGCAUGGUUCAAUAGUGAAAGACGUUCUUUCUGUCACUUAUAGAUGGAUCCGCGCCGCAUUAGAUAGUUGGUAAGGUAACGGCUUACCAAGGCAACGAUGCGUAGCCGACCUGAGAGGGUGAACGGCCACACUGGAACUGAGACACGGUCCAGACUCCUACGGGAGGCAGCAGUAGGGAAUCUUACGCAAUGGGCGAAAGCCUGACGGAGCAACGCCGCGUGAGUGAUGAAGGUCUUAGGAUCGUAAAACGAUGUUAUUAGGGAAGAACAAAUGUGUAAGUAACUAUGCACGUAUUGACGGUACCUAAUCAGAAAGCCACGGCUAACUACGUG
rnacentral:rRNA from 1 species